rnacentral:lncRNA from 1 species
CUCUCGAAAACUCUCACCCACUCCCUCUCGCCUCUCCGUUUCGAUAACAACAUCGCCAGAAACGAGAAGUCGCCGGAAAACCAAACUCGCCGGAGCUCGGGAAGUAAACCGGAGAAACCCGCGGCGGUUCUUUCUAUGUGUUCGGUAUAACUUCCUGACAUUUUUCUUUUUGUUCUUUAGUUUCUGUUUAAACCUUAACUUAAAACGUAGACGCUAAUCACCACAUUAUGUUUCGGUUUAUGUCUCUUUCAAAUCAACUCUUUUCCUAUAUAUGUUCGUAUAUACACACUUGAACUGGUAGUUGGUAACUUGCAAGUAUGAACUCCUUGGGUUCAAUAUUGGGAAGAAGUUGACAAAUGCUUUUAUACAAACUAUUGAUAUCCUUCAUUUGAAAACCAGAGCAAGACAAUAUAACUGUUGAUUCUUUUUGAGAUCAAAGAAAAGCAUAAAUAAUGGGGUGGGCUCUGGUGUGUUCGGCUGAAUUAUAUCUAAAGAAAGAAGAGGAAUCAACAUAGGUUCUAUAUUAGAGUAAUAUUUGCAUUACUAAACAAAAUAAACUCACUGUUAGUGAAAGAUAAGACACACUUUUCUUUUAUUGUAUUUUGAGGUUUUGUGAAUAAGUAUCAUGUUUAUAUAUAUAUAAUAAAAAUUAGCUAGAAACAGUUAAAUUAAUUAUCUAAAUAAAACAAGACUAUCAUUGUUUAUAUAAUUUUUCUUUUUAUAAUAACAAAAUAAUAAACAAAUUACUUUAAACUCUCUUUGUAAUAAGGUGAUAAAAUAAAAUAUCUAAUUAAAUAAAUUAUAAACUUUGUGUUAGGAAUUAUAUUUAAACAUUCAAAUAUUAACAAGAUCGUCAUAUUUAGGAUAACCUCGUGCGUUCGUUCUCUUGGAUUGUUCCAAUCUUACUCGUACGUUCUUACAAGAAAUCGCAACGCAAUCAAUGUGAGUAUACAUGACCCAUUUUCUAUUUUAUCACAUUUUGGGUGCUGUAUGCAUUUCUAUAUCAAACACACUAUGUUAAACAUUUUUGCACCCUCAAUCCACAUUUCAUGUGAAUCUAUUUGACUCAUGUUAAUCACGUUAUGCUACUGUUAAACAUUUAUGACUGUGUGUUCAUUAACUUUGCAAGCCUCCCCUAACAAUGGCAGCGCUGUAGGUUGAGAAACGCCCCUCCCAUAAUAUUAUGGGUAUUGUUAGGUUUAUUCUAUAUUACUCAUGUUACCACCCUUCUAGGGUUAGGCUAUCUUAAUUGCGUUAAACUUUGGUUUGAACACAUAGAUUUCAUCGUUACGAGUAUAACUGUUAAUAUGAACUCAUGUAGUCACGUGGAUUUGAGCAUGUUAAUCUAUUUCAAACAUAUUAUACUAUUAUCAAACUUGUAUACUCGCCAACAUGUUUUGUUGACUUUAUUUUAAAUGCAUACUGCAGGAUGAGGAAGUCAGGAUUUGAAGAAAUGAAUAGGAUGGCCUAGAAACCCACUUUUUAAAUAAACUAUGUUUAAUGUUUGUUAUUUCCUUUUAUGACAAUGUAUGAAACUUUUCAAUUUUAAUAAAUGAAAUUUAAUUAUAUUGUCACAUAUAGUGUUAUGAUGUUUUGAGCAAUUUGUUCGUCUCAUCCCGAUGUUUCCGCCAUCGGUUGGGGUGUGACAAUACUUAUGUGAUAUGUUUUAGUCAUUAGCUCUCACGAGCCUCCCUUCGACAUGUAUAGCGCUAUAGGAGUAACGCACCGCCCCCUUAAACUUGGGUCAUGUUGAAUUAAUUAAACUUUCUUGCGUAAACAGAGGUUGGCUAGAAAUAUUGCAUGCCAUGUUAGGUUGAUCUCGUAUAGACUUAGUUGCCAUGUGGAUUUGUUUUAAACUUUUAAACUUAUUCUUAUACUUAUGCUUAAACUUGUUGAUGAUGACGAUGCUAUGAAAAGAAGUAGCGUUGAUGCCUAGAUACACAUAUAGACGUUUAGGUUUAAUAUGUUGCAUCAAUUUUGCUUAUGUUGUUAUAUACUUCUUUGAACUUGUUGUAUUUGAAUUCCUUGUAAUGUUGACAGUUUACUUUAUGAAAUGAAAUCGGU